ACGCUCGACACCUACGGGAGCAGCAGUGGGGAAUAUUGCACAAUGGGGGAAACCCUGAUGCAGCGACGCCGCGUGAGCGAAGAAGUAUCUCGGUAUGUAAAGCUCUAUCAGCAGGAAGAAGAUGACGGUACCUGACUAAGAAGCACCGGCUAAAUACGUGCCAGCAGCCGCGGUAAUCUGAGCGGGCUGGCAAGGC
rnacentral:rRNA from 1 species